AUAUGACGGAGUGUAAAUGCC
rnacentral:miRNA from 1 species